rnacentral:rRNA from 1 species
GACGAACGCUGGCGGCGUGCUUAACACAUGCAAGUCGAACGGAAAGGCCCUGCUUUUGUGGGGUGCUCGAGUGGCGAACGGGUGAGUAACACGUGAGUAACCUGCCCUUGACUUUGGGAUAACUUCAGGAAACUGGGGCUAAUACCGGAUAGGAGCUCCUGCUGCAUGGUGGGGGUUGGAAAGUUUCGGCGGUUGGGGAUGGACUCGCGGCUUAUCAGCUUGUUGGUGGGGUAGUGGCUUACCAAGGCUUUGACGGGUAGCCGGCCUGAGAGGGUGACCGGCCACAUUGGGACUGAGAUACGGCCCAGACUCCUACGGGGGGCAGCAGUGGGGAAUAUUGCACAAUGGGCGGAAGCCUGAUGCAGCAACGUCUCGUGCGGGAUGACGGCCUUCGGGUUGUAAACCGCUUUCGCCUGUGACGAAGCGUGAGUGACGGUAAUGGGUAAAGAAGCACCGGCUAACUACGUG